AUGUUCUCCGACGAAGCCAUGCCGCAAUCUCGCCCAGCACCUUCCGUCUUUGAUUUGGUACAACCGGAGAUCUACCAUCGCAACCACACGCCGCAACAACAACUCAUAACACGCAGCCAUCACUACCAACCUCCUCAUCCGCCUCAAUCUCGCCAUCGCAACCUCCCAUCACGCGAACUACCGCCUGUCUCAUGCCACCCCACGCGCCGUCAGACUUUGAAGCCUUGCCGCAACUCCCCGAUUAAGACCACCACCGCCUCCGAGUACAAAUCAACACAAGACGUUUGCUUUGAUUUACAGUUCAGGUUGGUUUUGUUUCUUUUCCUCCAAAUUUUGAUUAUAGUUGUUGUUUGUUCUUGA